rnacentral:rRNA from 1 species
AGAGUUUGAUCCUGGCUCAUGGUGAACGCUGGCGGCGCGCUUAAUGCAUGCAAGUCGAGCGUGAUCGUGGCUUCGGCCACAAUGAUAAAGCGGCAGACGGCUGAGUAACGCGUGAGUAAUCUGCCCUCCGGUGGGGUAUAACCUCGGGAAACUGAGGAUAAUCCCGCAUACGACCUGCAUCCCUUGGGGUGCAGAUGAAAGGCUUCGGUCGCCGGAGGAGGAGCUCGCGUCCUAUCAGGUUGUUGGUGGGGUAAUGGCCUACCAAGCCGAUGACGGGUAGCUGGUCUGAGAGGAUGACCAGCCAGAGGGGGACUGAGAACGGCCCCCACUCCUACGGGAGGCAGCAGCAGGGAAUCUUGGGCAAUGGGCGAAAGCCUGACCCAGCGACGUCGCGUGGGGGACGAAGGCCUUCGGGUUGUAAACCCCUUUUCCGAGGGAAGAGAAAGGACGGUACCUCGGGAAUAAGCCCCGGCUAACUACGUGCCAGCAGCCGCGGUAAUACGUAGGGGGCAAGCGUUACCCGGAAUCACUGGGCGUAAAGUGCGCGUAGGCGGUUGGAUAAGUCUCUUGUGAAAGCUCCCGGCUCAACUGGGAGAGGUCAAGGGAUACUAUUUGACUAGAGGACAGCAGAGGUAAGCAGAAUUCCCGGUGUAGCGGUGGAAUGCGUAGAUAUCGGGAGGAACACCAGUGGCGAAAGCGGCUUACUGGGCUGUAUCUGACGCUGAGGCGCGAGAGCGUGGGGAGCAAACUGGAUUAGAUACCCAGGUAGUCCACGCCCUAAACGAUGGAUACUAGGUAUGGGGGGUAUUGACCCCCUCCGUGCCGUAGCUAACGCGUUAAGUAUCCCGCCUGGGGACUACGGCCGCAAGGCUAAAACUCAAAGGAAUUGACGGGGGCCCGCACAAGCGGUGGAGCGUGUGGUUUAAUUCGAUGCUAAGCGAAGAACCUUACCUGGGCUUGACAUGUUGGUAGUAGGAACCCGAAAGGGUAACGACCUCGGGGUAACUCGGGGAGCCUUCACAGGUGCUGCAUGGCUGUCGUCAGCUCGUG